AGCUCUAUACAGAAGAUACAAAACCCCAACAAAGCCGAGGAGAUAGGGAUGACUGCAGAUCCAUCUAUAGGAAGUUCUGAUCAUGAUGACGAAUAACCUCCGUAUAUGAACUCUGAACUCAGACCGAUCACUGAUCAUACUGUUUCCUUCUUCUUGUCCAGGUUGUUUUCUGUAUAAAGAAGUAAGAGCAACAAUCACGAAUCAGAUGGUGCAAGAUAACAUUACUAGAAUAAAUCUGAAACGAAGUUGACAUUUAUUAGAUAUGCAACUUUCAACCAUAAAUAAUAAUAAUCGGAUCUAACGCACACGAGUAGAGAGAGAAAGGUAAAUCAUUUCAAUCAGAUGGAGAAUUAGAUCGAGUAUUCUGAUGAACUCACUCACCAGUCUCACCAGGUACGAGCAACAGAUCGUGGAGAAAAUAGUUUGACUAAACUAUACAGUGA
rnacentral:lncRNA from 1 species